rnacentral:rRNA from 1 species
CAGCCGCCGCGGGAAUACGUAGGGUGCAAGCGUUAAUCGGAAUUACUGGGCGUAAAGCGUGCGCAGGCGGUUAUAUAAGUCAGAUGUGAAAUCCCCGGGCUCAACCUGGGAACUGCAUUUGAAACUGUAUGGCUAGAGUGUGUCAGAGGGGGGUAGAAUUCCACGUGUAGCAGUGAAAUGCGUAGAUAUGUGGAGGAAUACCGAUGGCGAAGGCAGCCCCCUGGGAUAACACUGACGCUCAUGCACGAAAGCGUGGGGAGCAAACAGGAUUAGAUACCCGAGUAGUCCCUGUCUCUUAUAC